rnacentral:rRNA from 1 species
GACGAACGCUGGCGGCGUGCUUAACACAUGCAAGUCGAACGGAAAGGCCCCCAUCUUGGUGGGGGUGCUCGAGUGGCGAACGGGUGAGUAACACGUGGGUGAUCUGCCCUGUACUUCGGGAUAAGCUUGGGAAACUGGGUCUAAUACCGGAUAGGACCAUGGUUUAGUGUCUCAUGGUGGAAAGAUUAUUGUUUUGGUGCAGGAUGAGCUCGCGGCCUAUCAGCUUGUUGGUGGGGUAAUGGCCUACCAAGGCGUCGACGGGUAGCCGGCCUGAGAGGGUGGACGGCCACAUUGGGACUGAGAUACGGCCCAGACUCCUACGGGAGGCAGCAGUGGGGAAUAUGGCGCAAUGGGCGCAAGCCUGAUGCAGCGACGCCGCGUGGGGGAUGACGGCCUUCGGGUGGUAAACUCCUUUCGUUAGGGACGAAGCCGCACUUUUUUUGGGUGUGGUGACGGUACCUUUGUGAAGAAGCACCGGCUAACUACGUG